rnacentral:rRNA from 1 species
AUUAAACGCUGGCGGCAUGCCUUACACAUGCAAGUCGAACGGCAGCACGGGGGCAACCCUGGUGGCGAGUGGCGGACGGGUGAGUAAAGCAUCGGAACGUAUCCUGGAGUGGGGGAUAACGUAGCGAAAGUUACGCUAAUACCGCAUAUUCUGUGAGCAGGAAAGCAGGGGAUCGCAAGACCUUGCGCUCUGGGAGCGGCCGAUGUCGGAUUAGCUAGUUGGUGGGGUAAAGGCCUACCAAGGCGACGAUCCGUAGCGGGUCUGAGAGGAUGAUCCGCCACACUGGGACUGAGACACGGCCCAGACUCCUACGGGAGGCAGCAGUGGGGAAUUUUGGACAAUGGGCGGAAGCCUGAUCCAGCCAUGCCGCGUGAGUGAAGAAGGCCUCGGUUGUAAG